GGGGAAUCUUGGACAAUGGGGGCAACCCUGAUCCAGCCAUGCCGCGUGAGUGAUGAAGGCCUUAGGGUCGUAAAGCUCUUUCGCCUGUGAUGAUAAUGACAGUAGCAGGUAAAGAAACCCCGGCUAACUCCGUGCCAGCAGCCGCGGUAAUAAAU
rnacentral:rRNA from 1 species